rnacentral:lncRNA from 1 species
CAUCGUACCGUUAUCUAUGCUACUAUACAUAACGGUUUUGAAACCGUUGUGUAUGACGUAUAGAAUAGAUAACACCACUAUACACAACGGUUUUUUUGCUCAUAGAUAACGGAUAAAAUCCGUUAUCUAUGAGCGUUUUUCUAGUAGUGAAUGGACUAAAAAAAAUGAAAAAAGAAAAAAAUAUAUAUGUUAAGUCCAAAAGUUGUAUGUGCUUAGGCCCGUGAGAAGUGGGCAUAGUUAGAUGCAAAAAGGGAAGGGUAGACGUGCCCUAAACUAAAUUCAUUUGACUGAGCCCAGAGCCAAAUAUUUCCUACCUAUGCCUAAAAGCUACAUUACAACCUAAUAAAGACCUAAGGAUGAGAGCCUAU